CCUAAAAUAGGACUUUAUUAAGAAAAUACUCCUAUAAAUAUUGAGAUGCACGUUAAACUAGAGAAAAAAAUAAUUUAUUUAUUGGGAUGAUUGAUGUUCAUCUAACUUGAUUCGGUUGCAUGUCUAGAUUGGUGAAUGCUUAGUUUUCUAACUCUCUAACUUCUUCACUAUUUUUGUCACAAUAAUAGAAUUCAAUGUGUGUGUAUAUAUAUAUCUUCUUUGUUUUCAUUCAAGCCAAUUUUUAGUGUCAAAAUUUUCACUCAGACAAGAAUUAUUUUCUUCAAAACUGAAGCUUUGUAAUCACUAUUCUAUUAUUUUGUUGUAAUUUACAGGUCGUAGAUGAAUUUACAGGUGGUAGAUAAAUGUCGGUCGGCUUUGAUAAAUUUUUUCGGUAAAGGUUAGAUUUAUUUGUAUUGCUUUUAUAUCUCUGUUUUGAGGAUUUUUUUUUUAUGUAAAGGUAAAGUUUAGUUGUAUUACUUUGAUUUCUCUAUUGAGUAUUAUUUUGUUAUAAUUUACAGGUGGUAGAUGAGUGUACGACGGCUUUGAGGAAAUUUUUAUGUAAAAGUUAGACCCUGGGUACAGAGAAAACUCUGUUGGGCUGCCACUUUAAUGGGCCCUGCAACGUGCGAUCCGGAUUAGUUGGGGGCUUCAAUGCGGGCACGGAACACCAGAUGGGAACCAAAAAAAAAUUAUAUUGUUUUGAUGUAUCUAUCAUCGCAUUGUUUUGUUGUAGUUUACAGAUGGUAGAUGAAUGUCGACCGUCUUUGAGAAAUUUUUUUGGUAAAGGUU
rnacentral:lncRNA from 1 species